rnacentral:rRNA from 1 species
GAGGAUGACGUCAAGUCAGCAUGGCCCUUACGUCCUGGGCGACACACGUACUACAAUGCGAGGGACAGAGAGCAGCCAACCCGCGAGGGAGAGCGAACCUCUUAAACCCUGGCACAGUUCAGAUUGCAGGCUGCAACUCGCCUGCAUGAAGGAGGAAUCGCUAGUAAUCGCAGGUCAGCAUACUGCGGUGAAUCCGUUCCCGGGCCUU